rnacentral:lncRNA from 1 species
AGUAAAUGGAGGAGGAUGCCCAGGGAACCUGGGAAGUGAGCCAGGUCAAGAACCACAUGUACUAGUGCCUAGAUUUGCUCUUUUCCAAGCCCUUAGGUGCAAAUAUUUUCUGUUCCCCCUUAGGCCUGGAUCCCAGAGGUUAGCCUCUUAAUAUCCCAAGAUAAUUUGGUAACGAGAAAACACUGGAGAUAAAAUGCUGAGUGAAGAAAAAGUAUAACUGCAAAGACUAGCCCUUCUGAGCACGUGGUAUUCCCUUGCUUUGGGACCUGGGCCCUUUGUGGUAGCAGAAUCAGAGCACAGAGGACAAUGCCUGGGGGCUUAUAGUAAGACCCAGAGUGUUGCUGGAGGUCUCAGGUCUAUCCAAAUUGGAGCUAGUAGAGCCUGAAGAAAAGUGGAACCACCCAGCCAAGCCAAGAAGGGUUAGUACUUCUGCUUUGAGAGCAGACCUCACACAAACAGAUGGGAAGCAGAAACGAGGGAAGAGGAUUGAAGAUGAACCCACGUUUUAAAAGUCCUUGUCUGCAGGAGGUGGCAUUACCUGUGACCUCGCUUCACUUCUUCAUACAUGGCUGUUGUAGCAGGGCUCCACCAGAUGGCUGCUCCAACACAACACACAACAAGGUCUAACAUAUGAAGACCCCAUGGAAUUUGGAAAAUGAGAUAGGAUAAAGACCACCACGUGGGCUAUUGCCUAGAUUGACCAAGUCCUUAGGUACAAUCAUUUUUUUUCCCCUUCCUUAGGCAUUGAGUUCCUGAGGUUUGCACCUUGACACCACAAAACAAUUUGAUAGCAUGAGAAAAUGCUGGAGAUAAAAGGCUGAGAGAAUGAGAACAAAUGUGGGAAGCCUUGGUCAAGUAGAAAAAGAAAUCUGGAAAAGAGAAGAUGCCUAAUGAAGUUGGAUGACUUAAGUCUCAGUUUGAUAUCUGCUGCUGCUAAGUCGCUUCAGUCGUGUCCAACCAACUCUUAGCGACUCCAUGGACUGCAGACUACCGGCUCCUCCGCCCAUGGGAUUUUCCAGGCAAGAGUACUGGAGUGGGGUGCCAGUGCCUUCUCCGCAGUUUGAUAUCUAACGGAAAACAAAAAUUAAAUGCAAAAGUAUGAACAGGUUUCGUCAAACUGAGCAAAGUACCGGGCAGCCAUAUUUUCCUAUGUCUUUGUUCAUGGUGUUUUUUCAGACGCGAAGGGCGGGAGAAGAAUGCGUGGAGCAGGGCUCCUUGUCCAUUCUGAUACCAUACCGCCAUCGUGCGGUAGCAGUUUGAUCCGGCUCAAGCUGUGAGCUGUUCCUCCUGGAGAACCUGAUCUGGCCAAUGGAGGAGAAAACAGAACCUGAACUCAAGCCUGGCCUCUCUACCUUUUCCUCUGUGGUCCGGCAGGAGCAGGGACGGUCGGUCUGUGGGCUUGGUGUCUGACCCGUGAGGGGCCAGGGCCCAGGAGUCAGCCAGCCGCUUCCAUACGUUCCUGAUUUUCAUUCCCUAGAGUAACUGCAGUCUCCUAGAUGUCCUGGCUCACACCACCAAAGCAGUGUAUGUCCAUUCUUUCCAUACA